rnacentral:rRNA from 1 species
AUUGAACGCUGGCGGCAGGCCUAACACAUGCAAGUCGAGCGAGCGGCGGACGGGUGAGUAAUGUAUGGGGACUGCCCGAUAGAGGGGGAUAACUACUGGAAACGGUGGCUAAUACCGCAUACUAUCGGAUAACCCAUAUGGGAUUAGCUAGUAGUUGGGGUAACGGCUCACCUAGGCGACGAUCACUAGCUGGUCUGAGAGGAUGAUCAGCCACACUGGGACUGAGACACGGCCCAGACUCCUAGGGAGUCAGCAGUGGGGAAUAUUGCACAAUGGGGGCAAGCCUGAUGCAGCCAUGCCGCGUGAAUGAAGAAGGCCUUCGGGUUGUAAAGUUCUUUCAGUAGGGAGGCGUUAACUACAGAAGAAGCACCGGCUAACUCCGUGCCAGCAGCCGCGGUAAUAC